rnacentral:hammerhead_ribozyme from 1 species
AUCCAGCUGAUGAGUUUGAAAUAGGACGAAACGCACGUAUUGGAU